rnacentral:rRNA from 1 species
AGUAAAAGUCGUAACAAGGUCUCCGUAGGUGAACCUGCGGAGGGAUCAUUACAAGUGACCCCGGUUUACCACCGGGAUGUUCAUAACCCUUUGUUGUCCGACUCUGUUGCCUCCGGGGCGACCCUGCCUUCGGGCGGGGGCUCCGGGUGGACACUUCAAACUCUUGCGUAACUUUGCAGUCUGAGUAAACUUAAUUAAUAAAUUAAAACUUUUAACAACGGAUCUCUUGGUUCUGGCAUCGAUGAAGAACGCAGCGAAAUGCGAUAAGUAAUGUGAAUUGCAGAAUUCAGUGAAUCAUCGAAUCUUUGAACACACAUUGCGCCCCCUGGUAUUCCGGGGGGCAUGCCUGUUCGAGCGUCAUUUCACCACUCAAGCCUCGCUUGGUAUUGGGCAACGCGGUCCGCCGCGUGCCUCAAAUCGACCGGCUGGGUCUUCUGUCCCCUAAGCGUUGUGGAAACUAUUCGCUAAAGGGUGCUCGGGAGGCUACGCCGUAAAACAAACCCAUUUCUAAGGUUGACCUCGGAUCAGGUAGGGAUACCCGCUGAACUUAAGCAUAUCAAUAAGCGGAGGA